GUCCCAGUAGCUUAGUGGUUAAGGCACAGCCCCGGUUAGGCGCGAGACGCGGGUUGGAAUCCCGCCUGAGAUG
rfam:Nippostrongylus brasiliensis genome assembly, scaffold: NBR_scaffold0003965